GCCGCUUAUUGCGCAUGCGCCGCCGCCGGCUGCCCCCGGCCCGCCGCCCUCCCGCAGCCCUGCCGGGGGCCGGGGCCGUGACGGGAGCGUGUCCUCGGUCCCGCCGUCGGGCCGGGCCUCCGGAGAGAGCACGACCGAGGGGCGCGAGCUGCCAGCAGUGAAAGCUAAGAGUCAGGCUCCGUGCACUGAGGCCUGACAGGUUUAGAUAAGCUCGGGGUGCAGAAGGAAGCUCCUAUUUCAAUGUAAAAAGGAGAUUAUGAACUGUCCGUGGAGCAUGGGAAAAGACACGUGAAAGACAGUGCGUGCUUCAAGAACAACAAACACAACUGUAAGUAGCUGCCUACAGCAGCACCAGAUUUGGGGUCCUACCACAAAGAGGACUCUGCCAAUGAACAAGGGAAAGCAGCAAUUAGUUCCCUACGCCCGGAUCCCUGCUCAGUACCUGUCUUGCUGUCACUUCCCCAUGGAUGCUCUCUGUCAUGCCAGAUGAAGCUCCCAUUACAGGUUUCCACGCUUCCACAUAAGUUUAUCGGCUUUACAAUAAGUGGCAAAAUAUGAAAAUGUUCUGCAUGGUCAAGGCAGCUGCUCUCAGAACAGAAGCUACGAGCCAAUGAAUGGAAACGAUGGGAUGUAAACAUGAGACACCCAGAAUCGCACAGGACACGUUCCUGGAACAGCCUAGCACGCUGCCUGGCUGCAGUUUUGGCUCUCGCUCUAUUUCCCCCGUAACACAGAGGUGAUAUUAUGGUCACCGGCUGUAGGAACAUCCUCAUGUCUUCCUGAGUGGGGAUACAAUGAAAAGUGGCAAAUGACGCUGUCAGCUCUCCAUCCUUACAGAGCAUGUUUACACAGGCAUUUUACAGCACACGCCAUCCUCAUAGUAUCUUAACUUCCAACUACUGGCUCUAGGGAAUGGCUUUGGCGGUCCUAUUCAUGAGCAUCUCAAUAGGAGUGCUUAGAGAGACAAACGUUAGGAAGUACGAAUCUGUUACUUACAAAUGGACUGAGGGCAUGAAUUCCAAACAAAGAUGCUUUCCCUAACCUCCCGAAAACCUUCCACCUCUACAUCCUUGUUAUCCAGUAAUUCUGACACUUCUCGGUCAGGAGAGAAUACAUCUGGAACAGUUUAUCUAUUAAAGAUGUUCUAACCGGA